rnacentral:lncRNA from 1 species
GUAAUGACUAGUAGCGAGUUGUUUUAAAGAGGAUAGUGGAGGGAGGAUGAUACCAUGUUGAUAUGGUUGACACGAGCAAAGUGAUUCACUUCUGGUUUUCAUGAUUUUUGUUGCAUCUUUGCAAGUUUAUAUUUGUGAUUGAACAUGAGGAACAGUUGACAAAUGAGGAUUUACUCCGUUAUGACAAAAUUACAUCGGUGUAUAUGGUAGUUGGUGGAACUUCAUAGAAGGGUUGGUGUAAACCAGUAAAUUAGGUCUAAUCAAUCAAUGUGCAAAACUUGGUGACUCCUCCAUGAAUUGCAAUAUUAUCUUGUGAUUGUUCUCUUCAUUUAUUUUUUUGGCCAUAUAACCAUAAUUAACUUAAUUGCUUUUUUCCACAGGUAUGCAUGGACAAUUAUAGACUGUGCAUCUUGUGAAACCCAAAUGGGGUGGCUUUUCAUUGCAACAAAUGAGAAGUUGAAGCCUAAAUCUUUUUGAGGUAUAAGGAGUUGUCAAGUUACACAUGAAAUGCGUUAGAAACCUUAUGUUCUCAAGUACAUCCGAAAUUUUUUUCUAGUUAACAUGCAACCAGACUGUUAGAUCUUAUAUUGUGUAUAUAACUUUGGAGCACUAUCGUGUAUGAAAUGUUUGCCUUGAUAAAUGAAAAGAUAAGAUUUCAUGCCGCUAUUUGUGGCAUGCUAAGUAAAGCUAUUAGCUGUAUGAUUUCAAGAGCCUAAUAUAAUUUUAAUGCGUUUGGGAUUAUAAGUUAAUCUGAUUAUGGGGUCACUAUUCUAACGUUUUCUCCUUUAUUUAUUUAUUUAUUUUUAUCUUGUUAGUCUGAUAUGUGGAAUAUAAAGCUGAGCUGAAUCCAAACCAGGGUACCAGAUUUUUGCUUUUGAUGCAUUGCAUUUAGGUUCUCCAAAGUGAAAUAAUUGGUAAUAAAAUGUAUUAUCAUAACACACAUGAUUCAGUCGACCUUAAGCUAACACAGAUGAGGCCU